rnacentral:lncRNA from 1 species
UCUGUCGACUUGGAGGUUGGAGCGAUGGUGCGUGUGUGCAUCACUGUACUUUCCCUAACUCCCCUCGCUGGUCCUUGCUAGUCGGCCGUGUUGAUCCUGACAUUUUUGGAUAGAGGAUCGUAAUAGAACCAUCCGUGAGUGUGACCACGAUGAUUUGUUUAGAUUUUUUUUUGUUUUGGAAGAGACUAGUUCCAAGGUUGUGCUGUGUGUUAACUCACCUAUUAGUAUAUACAUUCUUUCUUUCGCCGAUGAACAACUACUAGUUCACUUCGUGUGGUUUACAAACUAUUUACAUUACUUUGAAAAAAUAUCAUUUCACCAUUAUAGUUCCAUUCUAUGUUGCUUAAACUAAUAUUUUUUUGUUUCAUAGAUUUGCAUUUUGGAAGCAUUCUGAUUAACCUGCGGAUUUCCCAAUGGUGUGCACGCUUGAGGCUUGCCUAUAUCAGAUUCAAUCUCUACUUCGACAUGCAUGGUAGAAGGAAGAUACUAAACUAUUUUCUCUGCCUU